GUAUCUGCAGGUGCAGCGGCAUCAAGAUUCACACUGCCUAAUCAGCUAGGACUUCAUGACUGUACACGCUUAUACAUACAUAUAUAUAUAUACAUGUACGUUGGCUCUUUGUGGACGAGUGUGGAAUGAAUAAAGUUCUAUUUUAGAUGUGGGAAUCUUGAUGAUGCUGCAUCAGCAAAUAC
rnacentral:pre_miRNA from 1 species